GAUUCUGGCUCAGAUUGAACGCUGGCGGCAUGCCUUACACAUGCAAGUCGAACGAGGGUAGCAAUACCUUAGUGGCGAACGGGUGAGUAAUAUAUCGGAACGUACCCUAGAGUGGGGGGACAACCAGUCGAAAGACUGGCUAAUACCGCAUACGAUCUCUGGAUGAAAGUGGGGGGACCUUCGGGCCUCACGCUCCUGGAGCGGCCGAUAUCUGAUUAGCUAGUUGGUGGGGUAAAGGCCCACCAAGGCGUCGAUCAGUAGCUGGUCUGAGAGGACGAUCAGCCACACUGGGACUGAGACACGGCCCAGACUCCUACGGGAGGCAGCAGUGGGGAAUUUUGGACAAUGGGGGCAACCCUGAUCCAGCAAUGCCGCGUGAAGUGAAGAAGGCCUUCGGGUUGUAAAGCUCUUUUGUCAGGGAAGAAACGGUGGGGGCUAAUAUCCUCUGCUAAUGACGGUACCUGGAGAAUAAGCACCGGCUAACUACGUGCCAGCCGCCGC
rnacentral:rRNA from 1 species